rnacentral:lncRNA from 1 species
GGUAUUCAUUUUGAUAUUGGUUUUUGUAGACCCAUCCCCAGCAACGUUACCUGCAGAAGGAAAGGCCAGAUAGCAUUUCCUUCAAUCGAAGGUCAUGGAGAUCAUUACGAAAAACGUGUCAUGCAGUGGUGUAGAGGCUGGGUGAGAACGGGACUUUUUGUAUCAUUAUCAAGAAGAUAGAACAGCCGCAAGGUUUGAGAGGUGAGGGUAAGAAAAAAAUCGUAUACAAGGAUUGAGAAAAGGCGAAAGUAAUCAGUCGAGUGAGCAUCUCCGACACGGAAACAACUGAAGUGCACUAUUCGUCACCAAUUGUAUUCUUCUUUAUAUUAUAAUCAGUUUGCAAUCAUGGUCGCAUAAAAGGAGAGAAAAGGCGAUAGAAAUUGGUUGAGUGGUUAUAUCCGACGUGGUAACAGCAACUGCAGUGCAAUUUUUCACAAACUGCAUUACUCGUCACAUUACUAGUUUUAAAUAAUGAUAAACUAUGGCGUCGUGUUGCUGUUGGGUGUUGUAUCGUUGAUGGCUGGGUCGGCCACUGGUGUACCGAUGUCUCCUGGGUAUGGCGGAUACCAAACCGCAACGCCGCCGCCUUACUACACGGCAACAACUUUCGCAAAGACCAGUUACAACACCACUAAGGCUCCAGAGUAUUACACCACAACUUAAGCUGCCCCGAGCUACUACACCAUCAAGGUACCGGAGUACUACACGAAAACGAACGUCUCAUCCUACAACACCGGGGCCUAAGUACUACUCCGUUUCCAGCUACUACACCGAGGCUUCAGCUAAUUACUCCACCAAAACUGUCGAAUACUACACCGAAUCGCCGAAGUACUACUCUGCCCCGAUCUACACAACCACAACUGAGGCGGCCAAGUAUUACGCAGUCCCGACUUAUUACUACACAGAAGCUGCUCCUUCGUACUAAGUUGACAAGGAAUACCACACUGAUGCUCCAGUUUGCUACAGCACAACCUACGCUAAACCUAGCUACGACACCUAAGCACUCAAGUACUACACCGAAGAAGCCGCAUAUUACACAACCACGUACGCUGCAAUAGUUUACUACACCAAGGAACCAUAGUAUUACUCUACUCCAAGCAAUCGAUCUUCAUAGGACAUAUCCUGGUGCUUGGACGGAAUUCUUUUUCAGGGUCCUGAAGGAGUUCAUGGCAGAUGUUGUGUUUGGCUCUUUCACAGGAAUGUUUGAAAGAAGUGAGAUCGAAAAAGGUUUUUUAAUGUCUUUAUAAAUAAUAGCCAAGUGACUGAUCAUUUAUGCAUGAAUGUAACACUUAAAAGUGUAACAAAUAUAAUGUUUUACCUGCUAAA